UACGUAGGUGGCAAGCGUUAUCCGGAUUUAUUGGGCGUAAAGGGAACGCAGGUGGUCUUUUAAGUCUGAUGUGAAAGCCUUCGGCUUAACCGGAGUAGUGCAUUGAAAACUGGGAGACUUGAGUGCAGAAGAGGAGUGUGGAACUCCAUGUGUAGCGGUGAAAUGCGUAGAUAUAUGGAAGAACACCAGUGGCGAAAGCGGCUCUCUGGUCUGUAACUGACGCUGAGGUUCGAAAGCGUGGGUAGCAAACAGG
rnacentral:rRNA from 1 species